GCAUGUUACAACCCCAUGAAAAAAAAGAGAAAACAAAAUCAAUAACCAAAACCCAAAAAUGAAAUGUUUAUAUUAAGAAAGCUAUAGUGGAUCAUAACAUUAUAUUGAUGAAUUAUCCCUUGUAUAGAUGUAGAUUACUACAUUACUGUGAAAUUUAUGCUUCAAAUUUCAAACUUAAUUUUAAAUUCAAUAAUCCGUUAUUUGUCAAAUUCAAGGAAUGACUGAUUAAACAUCGUGUGAGUAAAUUUUUAUCUGAUCAUAUUUAAGUUUAUUGCUUGAAUUCUGCAGCUACAGCUUGGAAUUUUUUUUUUU
rnacentral:misc_RNA from 1 species